UACGUAGGGGGGCAAGCGUUGUCCGGAUUUAUUGGGCGUAAAGAGCGUGUAGGCGGCUUGGUAGGUCCGCUGUGAAAACUCGAGGCUCAACCUCGAGAUGUCGGCGGAAACCACUUGGCUAGAGUCCGGAAGAGGAGAGUGGAAUUCCUGGUGUAGCGGUGAAAUGCGCAGAGAUCAUGAGGAAGACCAGUGGCGAAGGCGGGUCUCUGGACAGUUCCUGACACUGAGGCACGAAGGCCAGGGGAGCAAACGGG
rnacentral:rRNA from 1 species